rnacentral:tRNA from 1 species
GGAGGGUAUAGCUCAGUGGUAGAGUGCAUGCUUGGUAUGCACGAGGUCCUGGGUUCAAUCCCCAGUACCUCCA